GACGAACGCUGGCGGCGCGCUUAAUACAUGCAAGUCGAGCGAGAACCAGGGCUUCGGCCCUGGGGACAGCGGCGAACGGGUGAGUAACACGUGGGUAAUCAACCCCCGACACCGGGAUAGCCCAGGGAAACUUGGAUUAAUACCGGAUGCUCCGUCUGGCCUUCGGGCCGGCCGGAAAAGGGUAGCUUCGGCCUCCGGUCGGGGACGAGCCCGCGGCGGAUUAGCUUGUGGGUGAGGUAAAGGCUCACCAAGGCGACGAUCCGUAGCUGGUCUGGAGGGACGAUCAGCCACACUGGGACUGAGACACGGCCCAGACUCCUACGGGGGGCAGCAGUAGGGAAUCUUGCGCAAGGGGCGAAAGCCUGACGCAGCGACGCCGCGUGAGGGAAGAAGGCCUUCGGGUUGUAAACCUCUUUCAGGAGGGACGAAGCCACUCGGGUUAAUAGCCCAGAGGGUGACGGUACCUCCAGAAGAAGCCCCGGCUAACUACGUGCCAGCCGCCGCAGUAAGAC
rnacentral:rRNA from 1 species